ACUCAAAUGAAUUGACGGGGACCCGCACAAGCAGCGGAGCAUGUGGUUUAAUUCGAAGAUACGCGAAGAACCUUACCAAGGCUUGACAUCCCGCGACAGUUGUAGAAAUACAAUAUUCCAGCAAUGGACGCGGAGACAGGUGGUGCAUGGUUGUCGUCAGCUCGUGUCGUGAGAUGUUCGGUUAAGUCCGGCAACGAGCGCAACCCUUAUGAUAUGUUGCCAAUAUUCAGUUAGGAACUCAUAUCAGACUGCCGUGGAUAACACGGAGGAAGGCGGGGACGACGUCAAAUCAUCAUGCCCCUUACGUCUUGGGCAACACACGUGCUACAAUGGGCGCAACAAAGAGCAGCAAGCCGGCAACGGCAAGCGAAUCUCAAAAAAGCGUUCUCAGUUCAGAUUGAGGGCUGCAACCCGCCCUCAUGAAGCAGGAGUUGCUAGUAAUCCCGAAUCAGAAUGUCGGGGUGAAUGCGUUCCCGGGUCUUGUACACACCGCCCGU
rnacentral:rRNA from 1 species